GAGUUAUACAACUCAUCAACCCUGUGAACAUACCUAUAACGUUGCCUCGGCGGGAACAGACGGCCCCGUAACACGGGCCGCCCCCGCCAGAGGACCCCCUAACUCUGUUUCUAUAAUGUUUCUUCUGAGUAAACAAGCAAAUAAAUUA
rnacentral:misc_RNA from 1 species